rnacentral:rRNA from 1 species
GACGAACGCUGGCGGCAUGCCUAAUACAUGCAAGUCGAGCGGAGUUGACGAGAAGCUUGCUUCUCUGAUACUUAGCGGCGGACGGGUGAGUAACACGUAGGCAACCUGCCUUUCAGUUUGGGAUAACUUCCGGAAACGGAUGUUAAUACCGAAUACAUCAUCUUCUGGCAUCAGAGAAUGAGGAAAGACGGCGCAAGCUGUCACUGAGAGAUGGGCCUGCGGCGCAUUAGCUAGUUGGUGGGGUAAUGGCUCACCAAGGCGACGAUGCGUAGACGACCUGAGAGGGUGAACGGCCACACUGGGACUGAGACACGGCCCAGACGCGUACGGGAGGCAGCAGUAGGGAAUAUUCCACAAUGGGCGAAAGCCUGAUGGAGCAAUGCCGCGUGAGUGAUGAAGGUUUUCGGAUCGUAAAGCUCUGUUGCCAGGGAAGAACGUCCGGGUGAGUAACUGCACCCGGAGUGACGGUACCUGAGAAGAAAGCCCCGGCUAACUACGUGCCAGCCGCCGCCGUAA